GUUUAAAUUGGUUGUAGAAUUUAUAUUGUAACUUGCAUAUUUAUUUAGUUGAGUUUAAUCUAAGUUUAUAUCUGAUGUGUUUGUAUUAUUUUAGAAUUUACUGUUUUAGACACGUGGCAUGUGGUAUCCCACUACACUUGGUAUAAGCUGUCAUACUACACGUGGCAUGUGGUAUCCCACUAAUUAGCUAUUUUAAACAUGUGACAAGUGGUAUGACACUGUAUUGAUGUAUGUGAAAUGUAUAGAGUCUUUCAGUUAUCAGAUAAUAUCAAGGAGUUGACAGCAUGGUGUCCGAUUUAAAGUGCGAACCUGUGUACGAGUAACAACAGUAUU
rnacentral:lncRNA from 1 species